rnacentral:rRNA from 1 species
UACGGGGGGGGCAAGCGUUGUUCGGAAUUACUGGGCGUAAAGGGCUCGUAGGCGGCCAACUAAGUCGGACGUGAAAUCCCUCGGCUUAACCGGGGAACUGCGUCCGAUACUGGAUGGCUUGAGUUCGGGAGAGGGAUGCGGAAUUCCAGGUGUAGCGGUGAAAUGCGUAGAUAUCUGGAGGAACACCGGUGGCGAAGGCGGCAUCCUGGACCGACACUGAGGCUGAGGAGCGAAAGCCAGGGGAGCAAACGGG